CUUGGACUGGAAAAUGCGACUAUAAUAUCUAAAGUCAUAAGGAUUGAAGUUCCUGGGCAUGACAUUGUUAAUUUGACCAAUCGACUUAUAAUACAGUUCCCAGUCAAUAAAACAACUAAAAACAACACAUAUUCCUGUCAGUUCUAUGAUGAAAACAGUACAGACAACACCUGGAAAAAUGACGGGUGUAUCACCGAACAGAUCAGUGAUAAUCUUGUGAAUUGUUCCUGUGAUCAUAUGACUCCAUUUGCUGUGCUUCUGGU